UCCAGACUCCUACGGGAGGCAGCAGUGGGGAAUAUUGCACAAUGGGGGAAACCCUGAUGCAGCGACGCCGCGUGAGUGAAGAAGUAUUUCGGUAUGUAAAGCUCUAUCAGCAGGGAAGAAAAUGACGGUACCUGACUAAGAAGCCCCGGCUAACUACGUGCCAGCAGCCGCGGUAAUACGUAGGGGGCAAGCGUUAUCCGGAUUUACUGGGUGUAAAGGGAGCGUAGACGGCCAGACAAAUCAGAAGUGAAAGCCCAGGGCUCAACCCUGGGACUGCUUUUGAAACUGCCGGGCUGGAGUGCAGGAGAGGUAAGCGGAAUUCCUAGUGUAGCGGUGAAAUGCGUAGAUAUUAGGAGGAACACCAGUGGCGAAGGCGGCCUGCUGGACGAUGACUGACGUUGAGGCUCGAAAGCGUGGGGAGCAAACAGGAUUAGAUACCCUUGUAC
rnacentral:rRNA from 1 species